rnacentral:rRNA from 1 species
GACGAACGCUGGCGGCGUGCCUAAUACAUGCAAGUCGAGCGGACCACUUCGGUGGUCAGCGGCGGACGGGUGAGUAACACGUGGGCAACCUGCCUGUAAGACUGGGAUAACACCGGGAAACCGGUGCUAAUACCGGAUAAUCCUUUCCUUCACAUGAGGGAAAGCUGAAAGACGGUUUCGGCUGUCACUUACAGAUGGGCCCGCGGCGCAUUAGCUAGUUGGUGAGGUAACGGCUCACCAAGGCAACGAUGCGUAGCCGACCUGAGAGGGGGAUCGGCCACACUGGGACUGAGACACGGCCCAGACUCCUACGGGAGGCAGCAGUAGGGAAUCGUCCGCAAUGGACGAAAGUCUGACGGAGCAACGCCGCGUGAGCGAUGAAGGCCUUCGGGUCGUAAAGCUCUGUUGUCAGGGAAGAACAAGUACCGGAGUAACUGCCGGUACCUUGACGGUACCUGACCAGAAAGCCACGGCUAACUACGUGCCAGCCGCCGCUGUAA